rnacentral:rRNA from 1 species
ACGGCUCAGUAACACGUAGUCAACAUGCCCAGGGGACGUGGAUAACCUCGGGAAACUGAGGAUAAACUGCGAUAGGCCAAGGUUUCUGGAAUGGACACUGGCCGAAACCUAUAUGGCCCCUGGAUUGGACUGCGGCCGAUCAGGCUGUUGGUGAGGUAAUGGCCCACCAAACCUGUAACCGGUACGGGCUUUGAGAGAAGGAGCCCGGAGAUGGGCACUGAGACAAGGGCCCAGGCCCUAUGGGGCGCAGCAGGCGCGAAACCUCUGCAAUAGGCGAAAGCUUGACAGGGUUACUCUGAGUGAUGCCCGCUAAGGGCAUCUUUUGGCACCUCUAAAAAUGGUGCAGAAUAAGGGGUGGGCAAGUCUGGUGUCAGCCGCCGCGGUAAUACCAGCACCCCGAGUGGUCGGGACGAUUAUUGGGCCUAAAGCAUCCGUAGCUUGUCCUGCAAGUCCUCCGUUAAAUCCACCUGCUCAACAGAUGGGCCGCGGGGGAUACUACAGGGCUAGGAGGCGGGAGAGGCAAACGGUACUCAGUGGGUAGGGGUAAAAUCCAUUGAUCCACUGAAGACCACCAGUGGCGAAGGCGGUUUGCCAGAACGCGCUCGACGGUGAGGGAUGAAAGCUGGGGGAGCAAACCGGAUUAGAUACCCGGGUAGUCCCAGCUGUAAACGAUGCAGACUCGGUGAUGGGUUAGCUUUGAGCCAACCCAGUGCCGCAGGGAAGCCGUUAAGUCUGCCGCCUGGGGAGUACGGUCGCAAGACUGAAACUUAAAGGAAUUGGCGGGGGAG